rnacentral:rRNA from 1 species
GAAUUAAAACUCCAAAGGGAUUGACGGGGACCCGCACAAGCGGUGGAGCAUGUGGUUUAAUUCGAUGCAACGCGAAAAACCUUACCACUCCUUGACAUGGAAAUUAUACCUAUUCGAAGGGAUAGGGUCGGUUCGGCCGGGUUUCACACAGGUGUUGCAUGGCUGUCGUCAGCUCGUGUCGUGAGAUGUUGGGUUAAGUCCCGCAACGAGCGCAACCCUCAUCCUUAGUUACCAUCAGGUAAUGCUGGGGACUUUAAGGAGACUGCCAGUGAUAAACUGGAGGAAGGUGGGGAUGAUGUCGAGUCAUCAUGGCCCUUAUGGAGUGGGCUACACACGUGCUACAAUGGUGGCUACAAUGGGCCGCAAAGUCGCGAGGCUAAGCCAAUCCCUUAAAAGCCAUCUCAGUUCGGAUUGUACUCUGCAACUCGAGUGCAUGAAGUUGGAAUCGCUAGUAAUCGUGGAUCAGCACGCCACGGUGAAUACGUUCUCGGGUCUUGUACACACUGCCCGUCACGCCAUGGGAAUUGGUUUCACUCGAAGCUAACGACCUAACCGCAAGGAGGGAGUUAUUUAAAGUGGGAUCGGUGACUGGGGUG